AACGUACGCUGGCGGCACGCCUAACACAUGCAAGUCGAACGAAGUAGCAAUACUUAGUGGCAGACGGGUGAGUAACAUGUAGGUAUCUGCCCUUUGGCCUGGAAUAACACGAGGAAACUUGUGCUAAUACCGGAUAAGUCUUUACGGAGAAAGCUUUAUGCACCAUUGGAUGAGCCUGCACUUGAUUAGUUUGUUGGUGGGGUAAUGGCCUACCAAGACUGUGAUCAAUAGCUGAUUUGAGAGGAUGAUCAGCCACAUUGGGACUGAGACACGGCCCAAACUCCUACGGGAGGCAGCAGUGGGGAAUCUUGCACAAUGGAGGAAACUCUGAUGCAGCGAUGCCGCGUGAGUGAAGAAGGCCCUUGGGUUGUAAAGCUCUUUCGUCGGGGAAGAAAAUGACUGUACCCGAAUAAGAAGGUCCGGCUAACUUCGUGCCAGCAGCCGCGGUAAUACGAAGGGACCUAGCGUAGUUCGGAAUUACUGGGCUUAAAGAGUUCGUAGGUGGUUGAAAAAGUUAGUGGUGAAAUCCCAGAGCUUAACUCUGGAACUGCCAUUAAAACUUUUCAGCUAGAGUAUGAUAGAGGAAAGCAGAAUUUCUAGUGUAGAGGUGAAAUUCGUAGAUAUUAGAAAGAAUACCAAUUGCGAAGGCAGCUUUCUGGAUCAUUACUGACACUGAGGAACGAAAGCAUGGGUAGCGAAGAGGAUUAGAUACCCUCGUAGUCCAUGCCGUAAACGAUGUGUGUUAGACGUUGGAAAUUUAUUUUCAGUGUCGCAGGGAAACCGAUAAACACACCGCCUGGGGAGUACGACCGCAAGGUUAAAACUCAAAUGAAUUGACGGGGACCCGCACAAGUAGUGGAGCAUGUGGUUUAAUUCGAAGAUACGCGCAGAACCUUACCAACACUUGACAUGUUCGUCGCGACUCUAAGAGAUUAGAGUUUUCGGUUCGGCCGGACGAAACACAGGUGCUGCAUGGCUGUCGUCAGCUCGUGUCGUGAGAUGUUGGGUUAAGUCCCGCAACGAGCGCAACCCUCACUUUUAGUUGCCAUCAUUAAGUUGGGCACUCUGAAAGAACUGCCAGUGAUAAGCUGGAGGAAGGUGGGGAUGACGUCAAGUCCUCAUGGCCCUUACGUGUUGGGCUACACACGUGCUACAAUGGUAUCUACAACAGGAAGCAAGACUGCGAAGUUAAGCAAAUCCCUAAAAGAUACCUCAGUUCGGAUUGCACUCUGCAACUCGAGUGCAUGAAGCUGGAAUUACUAGUAAUCGUGGAUCAGCGUGCCACGGUGAGUGCGUUCCCGGGUCU
rnacentral:rRNA from 1 species